rnacentral:rRNA from 1 species
GAGGAAUAUUGCACGAUGGGCGCAAGCCUGAUGCAGCAACGCCGCGUGCGGGACGAAGGCCUUCGGGUCGUAAACCGCUUUUCUGGGGGAAGAGCAAGGACGGUACCUCAGGAAUAAGUCUCGGCUAACUACGUGCCAGUAGCCGCGGUAAUACGUAGGGGGCAAGCGUUGUCCGGAUUUACUGGGUGUAAAGGGCGCGCAGGCGGGAUAAAAAGUCAGUGGUGAAAUCCUACAGCUUAACUGUAGAACUGCCUUUGAUACUUUUAUUCUUGAGUUCGGGAGAGAGAGACGGAAUUCCAGGUGUAGUGGUGAAAUACGUAGAUAUCUGGAAGAACACCAGUUGCGAAGGCGGUCUCUUGGUCCGACACUGACGCUGAGGCGCGAAAGCGUGGGGAGCAAACA